CGGCGCGCUUAAUGCAUGCAAGUCGAGCGAUGAGGUCUCCUUCGGGGGGCACAUCAGCGGCAGACGGGUGAGUAACACGUAGGUAACCUACCCCAGAGACAGGGAUAACCCUAGGAAACGAGGGCUAAUACCGGAUGACCUCCGGAAGGAGGAAAGGCUCAGGCGCUCUGGGAGGGGCUUGCGGCCCAUCAGCUAGUUGGUAGGGUAAGGGCCUACCAAGGCGAAGACGGGUAGGGGGUGUGAGAGCACGGCCCCCCACGAUGGGACUGAAACACGGCCCAUACUCCUACGGGAGGCAGCAGCAGGGAAUAUUGCACAAUAGGCGAAAGCCUGAUGCAGCGACGCCGCGUGAGUGAAGAAGGCCUUCGGGUCGUAAAGCUCUUUUGUAGGGGAAGAGGAAGGACGGUACCCUAAGAAGAAGCGUCGGCUAACUACGUGCCAGCAGCCGCGGUAAGACGUAGGACGCGAGCGUUAUCCGGAAUUACUGGGCGUAAAGGGCCAGCAGGCGGCUUGGUAAGUUGUGCGUGAAAGCCUCGUGCUCAACGCGAGGAAGCCGGACAAUACUGUCAAGCUAGAGGGCAUCAGAGGGGAGUGGAAUUCCCGGAGUAGCGGUAAAAUGCGCGGAUAUCGGGAGGAACACCGCAUGGCGAAGGGCAGCUCCCCUGGGAUGCACCUGACGCUAAGAGGCGAAAGCUAGGGGAGCGAACAGGAUUAGAGACCCUGGUAGUCCUAGCUGUAAACGCUGGGUGCUAGGUGUGGGAACGUAGAAGUUCCGUGCCGGAGCAAACGCGAUAAGCACCCCGCCUGG
rnacentral:rRNA from 1 species